rnacentral:rRNA from 1 species
GAUGAACGCUAGCGACAGGCCUAACACAUGCAAGUCGAGGGGCAGCAUGGUAUCAGCUUGCUGAUACCGAUGGCGACCGGCGCACGGGUGAGUAACGCGUAUGUAAUCUGCCUGUAACAGAGGGAUAACCCGGAGAAAUCCGGCCUAAUACCUCAUAGCACAUAUUAUUCGCAUGAGUUUUAUGUUAAAGAGACUCGGUUACAGAUGAACAUGCGUUCCAUUAGCUGGUUGGCGGGGUAACGGCCCACCAAGGCAACGAUGGAUAGGGGUUCUGAGAGGAAGGUCCCCCACACUGGUACUGAGACACGGACCAGACUCCUACGGGAGGCAGCAGUGAGGAAUAUUGGUCAAUGGGCGAGAGCCUGAACCAGCCAAGUCGCGUGGAGGAAGACUGCCCUACGGGUUGUAAACUCCUUUUACCUGGGAAUAACGGGCGCUACGCGUAGCGCUGUGCAUGUACCGGGAGAAGUAAGCAGGGGACGAAGG